rnacentral:piRNA from 1 species
UGGAAGUCUCUUUCUCCUCCAGUGUGU